GCACUAACUUCUGCAGGACAUAUACUAAAUUUAGAACGAUACAGAGAAGAUUAGUACAGCCCUGCACAAAGGUGACACACAAAUUCAUGAAACAUUCCAUAUAUUU